rnacentral:rRNA from 1 species
UACGGAGGGUGCAAGCAUUAAUCGGAUUUAUUGGGCGUAAAGAGCGUGUAGGCGGCUUGGCAGGUCAGCUGUGAAAACUCGAGGCUCAACCUCGAGACGUCGGUUGAAACCACCUGGCUAGAGUCCGGAAGAGGAGAGUGGAAUUCCCGGUGUAGCGGUGAAAUGCGCAGAUAUCGGGAAGAACACCCGUGGCGAAGGCGACUUCCUGGCCUGUUCUUGACGCUGAGGCGCGAAAGCUAGGGGAGCAAACGGG